rnacentral:rRNA from 1 species
AUUGAACGCUGGCGGCAUGCCUUACACAUGCAAGUCGAACGGUAACGCGAGGGCAACCUUGGCGACGAGUGGCGAACGGGUGAGUAGCGCAUCGGAACGUGCCCAGUAGUGGGGGAUAGCUCGGCGAAAGCCGGAUUAAUACCGCAUACGACCCACGGGUGAAAGCGGGGGACCGCAAGGCCUCGCGCUAUUGGAGCGGCCGAUGCCCGAGUAGCUAGUUGGUGAGGUAAAGGCUCACCAAGGCGACGAUCGGUAGCUGGUCUGAGAGGACGACCAGCCACACUGGGACUGAGACACGGCCCAGACUCCUACGGGAGGCAGCAGUGGGGAAUUUUGGACAAUGGGCGAAAGCCUGAUCCAGCCAUGCCGCGUGCGGGAAGAAGGCCUUCGGGUUGUAAACCGCUUUUGGCAGGAACGAAACGGCGCGGGCGAAUACCUCGCGCUAAUGACGGUACCUGCAGAAUAAGCACCGGCUAACUACGUGCCAGCAGCCGCAGUAAAAC